rnacentral:rRNA from 1 species
UACAGAGGGUGCAAGCGUUAAUCGGAAUUACUGGGCGUAAAGCGCGCGUAGGCGGUUACAUAAGUCAGGUGUGAAAUCCCCGGGCUCAACCUGGGAAUUGCAUUUGAGACUGUGGAGCUAGAGUGCGGAAGAGGGAAGCGGAAUUUCCGGUGUAGCGGUGAAAUGCGUAGAUAUCGGAAGGAACACCAGUGGCGAAGGCGGCUCCCUGGUCCAGCACUGACGUUCAGGCGCGAAAGCGUGGGGAGCAAACAGG